rnacentral:piRNA from 1 species
CAGGACAAUAUGGUGGGUGGCAUGUG